AGUUUUUUCGGAUUUCUCUCUCUUUCUGUCGUUUCUAUCGACUUAUCUCUCUUUCCCUUCGUCUCCCUCUUUCUUUCUCUCUUACAUAGAAAAACUCUGUAAAAAAAAUAAAUUGAUCCUCCACAUCCUCUGCUUUUCACUCUAUCCUUUCAAUACCAACUAACAAGAAUCGCCUCUACUCAUUCCCUUCUCUAAAUUAUUCACCAGCACGCUUUCACCUUUAGGGUUUUAUGCAAUCUCUUAUUAUCAUUUACCAAACCCUAGGUCAAUUUUUUGGUUCAAUCUUUGAUCAAAACCAUAACUCGUUCCUAUCCUUUUUCGAUUUGGAAAAAUACCAGUAAAACCCCUUAACCGAAUUGAAGAAACCCCUUACAGAAUUAUGAGAUUUUUCAUCUAUAAUGAACAUUCAACUAAUUUGUUUUUUUUUUUGUUUUUGUUUUUUUUUUCAUUUUUCAGUCAGGGUUUUUGUUAAUAUGGGUGCAGAUCUAACUGAUUUUAGCUCUAGGGGUUAUUCAGGAUUUAUAGUUUCUUAUUGUUGAAUGGAAUUUUGGGUUUGUUUUCGUUUACUCAGUUGGGUUUUUGUUAUAUCUCGAAUUGUUAACUAAGAUCUCUAAUGAUUACAAAAGGGUUGAUUUUUCUAGUUCUUUGACUGAAAAAAUGUUUUGUUUUGAAAUCUUAUCCAUGUUGUUUCAAUUUCUCUCAAUUUGUCAAUAGCAAUGAAGCCUGUAAUGUGUGUUAAUUUUUAUGUUUGUGUGAUUUAUGUUCAUAGUGACUUAAUGGGAGAUUUAUUUUCUGGAUCCCCAGUACUUCAGUACAUGUUGAUGAUAUUUGACUUUGGCCUGAUUAUGUUUGGCUUCCUUUUGUUAUGCUCUUGUUUGUGUAUGCUAGCAGUUUUGAUUUGCUUGGCUCUUUUGAAGUUAGGAUUACCUAAUACACUAAGCUUGAAUCUGAGGAUUACCUAAUACACUAAGCUUACCUAGUACGGGUAAUUGCUAUUUGUUAUACAUUUACACCCUUUUGUACACAUAGGUUACCGACUAUUCUUUUUAAUCCAGAUUGCGAUUAUGAGCAAUUUUACAAGUCUCGAUUCUUAUUAUGUUACCUACCCUAAAAUCUUGGUUAUUAUUUCUCCAGUUUUAUUGCUAAAGUGUUGUCUUAGUUUUUCUCUUGUAGUUGAAGUCAUAAGGAAGGUACCUGCGAAAAGUCUCCUUUAGCUUUGUUCUGUUUUUCUGUUAUGAAUAGGUACCUAUCUUUACACAUAUAGGUGAUGCUAAACUUGGAUAUGACGAUAAAAUUGAUGAACAAUAAGAGGAUGGAUUCUAGUUUUGGAAGUUGGGAGCCAUAGAACAUCCAAAGUAUCGUUGGAUUUACCAUAUUCUCUGAAGAUUCUUAUUUCAUUAUGUCUCAAGAUGCCUCUGUUAGCUAGCCUAGAUUGACCUAAGAUUUAUACCCUAUGAAGAUAUAUAGAGAAGAUUCUUACGGGAGAGAACAAAGAAUGAACUAUGCCUAAAGGAAGUCCCCUGUUGAGGCAC